UUGAUCAGCAUCAAUAGCCGAGUCGAUUGACGGGUGGCCGGACCAGUUCGCCACUCGGUAGAUCGCAGCCAAUCCUCACGUCGUUGGCAUCACUAUGCGAUGCCAAUGCCAAUCCUCUGACAAUGCAAGCCAAUAACUAACUUGUUUUACCCAGCCACUUUUCAGUCAUGUCUGCUACUACACAUAUUUAGAUAAGCAGUAGGCGCCACACUUAUUGUAUAAUGUGCCAUUUCAAAUACAACUCUCUCAUUUGAGAGACUGCCAGUUUUGUUCGCAUUGUCGAACACACCACUAAACAAAUCACAUCAGAAAAAUUCAGAAAAAAAAGCAAAAAAACAAUUUUCAAAUUUCAAUGGUCGAAAUUUGGAGGCCUUACCAGUGACGCUGCCCCAUACGAUGGCCGUGACGUCACUCCAACUUCAAGAAGUCAGCAGCCAUCUCCAACGACGAGGCCAGCCGCUACAACGACACUGGCCAACGAGCCAAAGCCAAUACCAUCGACAAUGCAUCCUGGGUGGCCGGACCAACAGCCACUCGGAUGCAGCCAAUUCCAAUUAAUAGGAAACCUACUUAAAUUAUAAUGACUUAAUGGUUCUGCUAAAUCUGCCUUUCCGUCUCUACGACCGUGGCAGACGAGCGUAAUGGAAACGGAAGGAGGACGAAGGACGAAGCCGCAUAGAAGAAACGCCUGAGCCAUUGUUUCUUUUAUUAUUUUUUUUCCACAUUUUGCUUUUUUAAAAAAAAUCCACUUAGUUCUUAAUCUCCAGUAAAAAGAAUUCCGAAAUAAUAUUUUUCAAAAUUU